AGAGUUUGAUCCUGGCUCAGGAUGAACGCUGACAGAAUGCUUAACACAUGCAAGUCGAUGGGGAAGUGGUGCUUGCACCAUGGUAACCAUGGCGGACGGGUGAGUAACGCGUAAGGAACUUGCCUGCGGGACCGGGAUAACAGCAGGAAACUGCUGACAAGACCGGAUAAGGUCAUUAAGCUGCAUAGCUUAGUGAUGAAAGGAGACGCCUGCGGAGAGCCUUGCGUCCUAUUAGCUAGUUGGAGGGGUAACGGCCCACCAAGGCGAAGAUAGGUAGCCGGCCUGAGAGGGUGGACGGCCACAAGGGGACUGAGAUACGGCCCUUACUCCUACGGGAGGCAGCAGUGGGGAAUAUUGGACAAUGGGGGCAACCCUGAUCCAGCAAUUCUGUGUGCACGAAGACGGUUUUCGGAUUGUAAAGUGCUUUCAGCAGGGAAGAAGGAAGUGACGGUACCUGCAGAAGAAGCGACGGCUAAAUACGUGCCAGCAGCCGCGGUAAUACGUAUGUCGCAAGCGUUAUCCGGAAUUAUUGGGCAUAAAGGGCAUCUAGGCGGCCAGAUAAGUCUGGGGUGAAAACUUGCGGCUCAACCGCAAGCCUGCCCUGGAAACUAUGUGGCUAGAGUACUGGAGAGGUGGACGGAACUGCACGAGUAGAGGUGAAAUUCGUAGAUAUGUGCAGGAAUGCCGAUGAUGAAGAUAGUUCACUGGACGGUAACUGACGCUGAAGUGCGAAAGCUAGGGGAGCAAACAGGAUUAGAUACCCUGGUAGUCCUAGCUGUAAACGAUGAUUACUGGGUGUGGGCAUGAAGAGUGUCCGUGCCGAAGCUAAUGCGAUAAGUAAUCCGCCUGGGGAGUACGGCCGCAAGGCUGAAACUCAAAGGAAUUGACGGGGACCCGCACAAGCGGUGGAGCAUGUGGUUUAAUUCGA
rnacentral:rRNA from 1 species